rnacentral:rRNA from 1 species
UACGUCGGGGGCAAGCGUUGUCCGGAUUCAUUGGGUGUAAAGAGCGUGUAGGCGGUCAGGUAGGUCGGUUGUGAAAACUGGAGGCUCAACCUUCAGAGGUCGACCGAAACCAUCUGGCUAGAGUCCGGGAGAGGAGAGUGGAAUUCCUGGUGUAGCGGUGAAAUGCGCAGAUAUCAGGAAGAACACCCGUGGCGAAAGCGGCUCUCUGGAACGGUACUGACGCUGAGACGCGAAAGCGUGGGGAGCGAACAGG